UACGUAGGUGGCGAGCGUUGUCCGGAUUUACUGGGCGUAAAGGGCGCGUAGGCGGCCCGUCAAGUCCCGUGUGAAAGCCCCCGGCUCAACCGGGGAACGGCGCGGGAAACUAGCAGGCUUGAGUUCGGGAGAGGGAAGCGGAAUUCCGGGUGUAGCGGUGAAAUGCGCAGAUAUCCGGAGGAACACCGGUGGCGAAGGCGGCUUCCUGGACCGACACUGACGCUGAGGCGCGAAAGCUAGGGGAGCAAACGGG
rnacentral:rRNA from 1 species